GUAGGUAUGUAUGUAUGUAAGUAUGUAUGUAGGUAGGUAUGUAUGUAUGUAUGUAGGUAGGUAGGUAGGUAUGUAUGUAGGUAUGUAGGUAGGUAGGUAUGUAUGUAUGUAUGUAGGUAUGUAAGUAAGUAGGUAUGUGUGUAUGUAUGUGUGUAUGUAUGUAGGUAGGUAGGUGGGUAUGUAGGUAUGUAUGUAU